GAGUUUGAUCCUGGCUCAGAUUGAACGCUGGUGGCAUGCCUUACACAUGCAAGUCGAACGGCAGCACGGGAGCUUGCUCCUGGUGGCGAGUGGCGAACGGGUGAGUAAUGCAUCGGAACGUAUCCUGGAGUGGGGGAUAACGUAGCGAAAGUUACGCUAAUACCGCAUAUUCUGUGAGCAGGAAAGCGGGGGACCUUCGGGCCUCGCGCUCUUGGAGCGGCCGAUGUCGGAUUAGCUAGUUGGUGAGGUAAAGGCUCACCAAGGCGACGAUCCGUAGCAGGUCUGAGAGGAUGAUCUGCCACACUGGAACUGAGACACGGUCCAGACUCCUACGGGAGGCAGCAGUGGGGAAUUUUGGACAAUGGGGGCAACCCUGAUCCAGCCAUGCCGCGUGAGUGAAGAAGGCC
rnacentral:rRNA from 1 species